AUGGUCCUAGACCUGCAGCCAUUAAUGUCUGCUGCUAAGGUUUUCACUACAGAUGCAAGAAAAAGAAGGUCCUUGCACUUUCUGUCUGUCAGGUUGUGGCAGCCAAGACUGAAUAGGGGAAUACAAGA
rnacentral:snoRNA from 1 species